AUUGAACGCUGGCGGCAGGCCUAACACAUGCAAGUCGAGCGGCAGCGGGUCCUUCGGGAUGCCGGCGAGCGGCGGACGGGUGAGUAAUGCCUAGGAAUCUGCCUGGUAGUGGGGGAUAACGUUCGGAAACGGACGCUAAUACCGCAUACGUACGACGGGAGAACGUGGGGGAUCUUCGGACCUCACGCUAUCAGAUGAGCCUAGGUCGGAUUAGCUAGUUGGUGGGGAAAAGGCUCAACAAGGCGACGUUCCAUAACUGGUCUGCGAGGAUGAUCAGUCACACUGGAACUGAGACACGGUCCAGACUCCUACGGGAGGCAGCAGUGGGGAAUAUUGGACAAUGGGCGAAAGCCUGAUCCAGCCAUGCCGCGUGUGUGAAGAAGGUCUUCGGAUUGUAAAGCACUUUAAGUUGGGAGGAAGGGCAGUCAGUUAAUACCUGGUUGUUUUGACGUUACCAACAGAAUAAGCACCGGCUAACUUCGUGCCAGCCGCCGCGGUAACAC
rnacentral:rRNA from 1 species